ACUGCAGGCCGCGCUAUCGAUUCCACUGUCAAGGUGGGGUAGGAAAGUCCGGACAGCACAGGGCAGCGCAUCCCGCUAACGGCGGGACAUGCAGGUUUCAACGCCUGCAUCGAGACAGUGCCACAGAAAAUAGGAGCCUUAAGUUCCUCCAGGAACCGAAUCGUUUCCGCGCUUCUAUUGCGUCGGGGCGGAGGUAAUCGUGAAAAUGUGGGGUAAGAGCCCACGGCGGUGCAUCGGAAGGUGCAUCGGGGGUAAACCUUGCGCGCUGAAAUGCCAUGUAUAGGAACGGUUUAGGGCGGCUCGCUUUAGUUCCCGGCCAAUGGUUGGGAGCCCGUUCCAGGGUAGGCAGCUAGAGGCGUUCAGCAAUGGGCGUCCCAGAUAAAUGAUAGCGGUUCGGGUGGAAACAUCCGGAUACAAAAUCCGGCUUACAGGCCUGCAGUAUUU
rnacentral:RNase_P_RNA from 1 species